UGCAGUCGAACGGAAACAUGUCUAGCUUGCUAGAUGAUGUCGAGUGGCGGACGGGUGAGUAAUGCUUGGGAACUUGCCUUUGCGAGGGGGAUAACAGUUGGAAACGACUGCUAAUACCGCAUAAUGUCUACGGACCAAACAGGGCUUCGGCUCUGGCGCAAAGAGAGGCCCAAGUGAGAUUAGCUAGUUGGUGAGGUAAAGGCUCACCAAGGCAACGAUCUCUAGCUGUUCUGAGAGGAAGAUCAGCCACACUGGGACUGAGACACGGCCCAGACUCCUACGGGAGGCAGCAGUGGGGAAUAUUGCACAAUGGGGGAAACCCUGAUGCAGCCAUGCCGCGUGUGUGAAGAAGGCCUUCGGGUUGUAAAGCACUUUCAGUUGUGAGGAAAAGUUAGUAGUUAAUACCUGCUAGCCGUGACGUUAACAACAGAAGAAGCACCGGCUAACUCCGUGCCAGCAGCCGCGGUAAUACGGAGGGUGCGAGCGUUAAUCGGAAUUACUGGGCGUAAAGCGCACGCAGGCGGUUUGUUAAGCUAGAUGUGAAAGCCCCGGGCUCAACCUGGGACGGUCAUUUAGAACUGGCAGACUAGAGUCUUGGAGAGGGGAGUGGAAUUCCAGGUGUAGCGGUGAAAUGCGUAGAUAUCUGGAGGAACAUCAGUGGCGAAGGCGACUCCCUGGCCAAAGACUGACGCUCAUGUGCGAAAGUGUGGGUAGCGAACAGGAUUAGAUACCCUGGUAGUCCACACCGUAAACGCUGUCUACUAGCUGUUUGUGACUUUAAGUCGUGAGUAGCGAAGCUAACGCGAUAAGUAGACCGCCUGGGGAGUACGGCCGCAAGGUUAAAACUCAAAUGAAUUGACGGGGGCCCGCACAAGCGGUGGAGCAUGUGGUUUAAUUCGAUGCAACGCGAAGAACCUUACCUACACUUGACAUGUUGAGAAGUUACCAGAGAUGGUUUCGUGCCUUCGGNAACUCAA
rnacentral:rRNA from 1 species